rnacentral:lncRNA from 1 species
UUCAUGUUUCAAAGCUACUUUUGAUAUUCCAAUGUAUCUCCUUUUCUUUUGAGAUAUUUUUAAUGAGGCAUUUGAAGGAAUAUGGGGUUGUCUUGUACUCAUCGAUGUAUGAAUAAAAGAAUAGAAUUCUAUAUUAAAAAUAUUUUCAGCAUACAAACUUCUCUAGCAAGUGCUGUAGCAUUACAUACUUAGCUUAUUUCCAAGCAUUUCUUCUUUCUUUAGCCCACUACAUUUCUGCAACCCAACAAAUUUGGUAUCAGAGCCAUACC